rnacentral:rRNA from 1 species
GACGAACGCUGGCGGCGUGCCUAACACAUGCAAGUCGAGCGAAUGAAGUUCCUUCGGGAAUGGAUUUAGCGGCGGACGGGUGAGUAACACGUGGGCAACCUGCCUCAUAGAGGGGAAUAGCCUCCCGAAAGGGAGAUUAAUACCGCAUAAGAUUGUAGUACCGCAUGAUACAGCAAUUAAAGGAGCAAUCCGCUAUGAGAUGGGCCCGCGGCGCAUUAGCUAGUUGGUGAGGUAAUGGCUCACCAAGGCGACGAUGCGUAGCCGACCUGAGAGGGUGAUCGGCCACAUUGGGACUGAGACACGGCCCAGACUCCUACGGGAGGCAGCAGUGUGGAAUAUUGCACAAUGGGGGAAACCCUGAUGCAGCAACGCCGCGUGAGUGAUGACGGCCUUCGGGUUGUAAAGCUCUGUCUUCAGGGACGAUAAUGACGGUACCUGAGGAGGAAGCCACGGCUAACUACGUG